rnacentral:rRNA from 1 species
ACUUGAUCUCAAAUCAGAUAAGAGUACCCGCUGAACUUAAGCAUAUCAAUAAGCGGAGGAAAAGAAACUAACAAGGAUUCCCUUAGUAACGGCGAGUGAAGCGGGAAGAGCUCAAAUUUGAAAUCUUCAAGGUUCUACCUUGACGAAUUGUAGUUUAAAGAAGUGUUUUCUGUUAGAUGAGUAGCAAAAGUUCCUUGGAAUGGGGCAUCAUAGAGGGUGAGAAUCCCGUAUUUGGUUAUUCAUUCUAGCUUUGUGAUACACUUUCAAAGAGUCGGAUUGUUUGGGAAUGCAGUCCAAAAUGGGUGGUAAAUUUCAUCUAAAGCUAAAUAUUGGCGAGAGACCGAUAGCGAACAAGUACCGUGAGGGAAAGAUGAAAAGAACUUUGAAAAGAGAGUUAAACAGUACGUGAAAUUGUCAAAAGGGAAGCGUUUGACACCAGUGUUGUUUUUCCGAAAAUCAAUUACGAAUGGCUUGAUUUUGUGCUGUAUUGACCUUAUCAGCUUUCUUCACUUUUUUCGAGUCUUUCUUAAUGCACUUUUCGGUUAACAAGUCAACAUCAAUUUCUUUUGUUGUAAAAGAGUAUUCGGAAGGUGGCUUUCUUUUCGGAGAAAGUGUUUAUAGCCCUAUACUUCUACAAUCGGAGAGAUUGAGGUCUGCAGCGUAGAUCCUUCGGGGUUAGAUACACUUGUGCUAAGUUGUAGCUUUUCAUAGACAACUUGUUGACUAUGUUUAGUCUUGCGGCUUGCUCGCUUGUGCUAUUUCACCUACGCUUAGGAUGUUGACAAAAUGGUUUUAAACGACCCGUCUUGAAACACGGACC